GUGCUGGCCACGCAGGAGGCUUAACCUGGCCGGCGCGGGAAUGGGGUGCAGAGAGCAAAGAAAUGUGGCUUUGAUCUUAUGGAUGCCUUACUUUUACAUUAUUUGUACAGUUCUUGCAGUGAGCUUUCCGGACCACUGUCUUGUAUGUUUCCUAAGAAAAGCAAAAAGGGAAGAGAUUGAAGAGAAAGUAGAUUUUCAACUACAAACUUUCAUCCAUUUGCUUUCAGCUUAAGCAAAUGUGCGCAAAGUUGUCAUGGAUUUUUGCAGUCAAUAAAAACCAAGCAAGAAGACUGAAUCCCAAGUCAUCUGGGGCAGAUAAGAAAAGAAACAAUUUGCUGAAACUCCCUCUGCUUAUAACAAAACUGACUGAAAUCAGCCGGAAUCAAUAUGGCCAAAUGCAGUUUGCGCACAGCAAGCUUGCUGAUGUCACAGCCUGAAUUUCUACUGCAUGUUUCAUACCAACUCCCUCCAAAUUUGCACAUGGGACCCACCAGGAAGCAUGAAGAGAGAGCCAUGCAUGCCUGAAGACUUCCCAGAUGUUCCCUUUGCUUCCACCAAUCACCUGCUAACCCCAGGAUCCAACCCUAAACCUUUUGUAAUAAAAUUACUGCCCUAAAGCCAGUACAAGACAGAUUUGAACUGGACUUUUGUUUCCUCAGAAGUUAACUUGCAAUGUGAAGCUUUCCUUUUCUCAAAAACUUGGUGUCAUAGUGUUGGCUUCUAGUGCAGUGAGCCCCUUUUGCUGGAUAACCUUACCUGGUAAUUUGACAUACUAGGUGGUUAGUAACUACUGACUGUCUCCAGGUUACAACACAGUUAUUACCCACUUGGGUGAAAAGAGAAGACAGGAAAUACAUUUUGGAGUUGGCUGGCAACCUGUUUACAAAGCAAUUUACAACAGUUCCUUAUUCUUAAGGGGCUAUUCUAAUACAAGACCUCAGAGAAACAGUGCAGUGUGACAAAGGAGGAAUUUAUCAAAGGAGACAGAAAAAGCAUCAAGGCAAGCUGUGAAAUGGUGCGGUAGGAACCAAAUAGAGAGCCAAAGGAUCUUUCUGUCACUGCAGGCCCUUAGGGGUAAGCAAAUCCUUCCCUGAUCCCUGGUCUCCUUAUCUGUAAAUGAGAAUACCAGCACCCACCUCACUGUGCUGUAAACAUGAUGAGUUCUAACAAUAAUUUAUAAAUUGUAAAAUCACACAAAUCUAA
rnacentral:lncRNA from 10 species